UCUGACUUUAUUGCACUACU
rnacentral:miRNA from 2 species